rnacentral:rRNA from 1 species
AACGAACGCUGGCGGCAGGCCUAACACAUGCAAGUCGAGCGCGCCUUUCGGGGUGAGCGGCGGACGGGUUAGUAACGCGUGGGAACGUGCCCAGAUCUAAGGAAUAGCCACUGGAAACGGUGAGUAAUACCUUAUACGCCCUUCGGGGGAAAGAUUUAUCGGAUUUGGAUCGGCCCGCGUUAGAUUAGAUAGUUGGUGGGGUAACGGCCUACCAAGUCUACGAUCUAUAGCUGGUUUUAGAGGAUGAUCAGCAACACUGGGACUGAGACACGGCCCAGACUCCUACGGGAGGCAGCAGUGGGGAAUCUUGGACAAUGGGGAAACCCUGAUCUAGCCAUGCCGCGUGAGUGACGAAGGCCUUAGGGUCGUAAAGCUCUUUCGCUGGGGAAGAUAAUGACUGUACCCAGUAAA